rnacentral:rRNA from 1 species
AGGACGAACGCUGGCGGCGUGCUUAACACAUGCAAGUCGAACGAGGUGCUUGCACCUAGUGGCGAACGGGUGAGUAACACGUGAGCAACCUGCCCCUGGCUCUGGGAUAGCCUCCGGAAACGGGGAUUAAUACCGGACAUGACCUUCUUCCGCAUGGUGGAGGGUGGAAAGUUUUUUCGGCCAGGGAGGGGCUCGCGGCCUAUCAGCUUGUUGGAGGGGUAACGGCCCACCAAGGCGACGACGGGUAG